rnacentral:rRNA from 1 species
CAGCCGCCGCGGUAAUACGUAGGGGGCAAGCGUUAUCCGGAAUUACUGGGUGUAAAGGGAGCGUAGACGGUUAAACAAGUCUGAAGUGAAAUGCCGGGGCUCAACCCCGGAGCUGCUUUGGGAACUGUAGAACUGGAGUGUCGGAGGGGUAAGCGGAAUUCCCAGUGUAGCGGUGAAAUGCGUAGAUAUUGGGAGGAACACCGGCGGCGAAGGCGGCUUACUGGACGACAAUUGACGUUGAGGCUCGAAGGCGUGGGUAGCAAACAGGAUUAGAUACCCCUGUAGUCCCUGUCUCUUAUAC